GGGCCCGUAGCUCAGCUGGGAGAGCGUCGCCUUUGCAAGGCGAAGGUCCCGGGUUCGAGUCCCGGUGGGUCCA
rfam:Candidate divison MSBL1 archaeon SCGC-AAA259D14 AAA259D14_Contig_3, whole genome shotgun sequence.